UACGUAGGGGGCAAGCGUUGUCCGGAUUUCUUGGGCGUAAAGCGCGUGUAGGCGGCCACACAGGUCCGCUGUGAAAACUCGAGGCUCAACCUCGAGCUGUCGGUGGAAACCGUGUGGCUAGAGUCCGGAAGAGGAGACUGGAAUUCCCGGUGUAGCGGUGGAAUGCGCAGAUAUCGGGAGGAACACCCGUGGCGAAGGCGGGUCUCUGGGACGGUACUGACGCUGAGACGCGAAAGCGUGGGGAGCGAACAGG
rnacentral:rRNA from 1 species